rnacentral:rRNA from 1 species
AGCGAACGCUGGCGGCAGGCUUAACACAUGCAAGUCGAGCGCCCCGCAAGGGGAGCGGCAGACGGGUGAGUAACACGUGGGAACGUACCCUUUGGUUCGGAACAACCCAGGGAAACUUGGGCUAAUACCGGAUAAGUCCGCGAGGAGAAAGAUUUAUCGCCGAAGGAUCGGCCCGCGUCUGAUUAGCUAGUUGGUGUGGUAACGGCGCACCAAGGCGACGAUCAGUAGCUGGUCUGAGAGGAUGAUCAGCCACACUGGGACUGAGACACGGCCCAGACUCCUACGGGAGGCAGCAGUGGGGAAUAUUGGACAAUGGGGGCAACCCUGAUCCAGCCAUGCCGCGUGAGUGAUGAAGGCCCUAGGGUUGUAAAGCUCUUUCGGUGGGGAAGAUAAUGACGGUACCCACAGAAGAAGCCCCGGCUAACUUCGUU